rnacentral:rRNA from 1 species
CUACGGGAGGCUCCAGUGGGGAAUAUUGGACAAUGGGCGCAAGCCUGAUCCAGCAAUGCCGCGUGAGUGAUGAAGGCCCUAGGGUUGUAAAGCUCUUUUACCCGGGAAGAUAAUGACUGUACCGGGAGAAUAAGCCCCGGCUAACUCCGUGCCAGCAGCCGCGGUAAUACGGAGGGGGCUAGCGUUGUUCGGAAUUACUGGGCGUAAAGCGAACGUAGGCGGCUUGGUAAGUCAGAGGUGAAAGCCUGGAGCUCAACUCCAGAACUGCCUUUGAGACUGCAUCGCUUGAAUCCAGGAGAGGUCAGUGGAAUUCCGAGUGUAGAGGUGAAAUUCGUAGAUAUUCGGAAGAACACCAGUGGCGAAGGCGGCUGACUGGACUGGUAUUGACGCUGAGGUGCGAAAGCGUGGGGAGCAAACAGGAUUAGAUACCCUCGUAGUC